rnacentral:rRNA from 1 species
CGACCAGACUCCUACGGGAGGCAGCAGUGGGGAAUAUUGCACAAUGGGGGAAACCCUGAUGCAGCGACGCCGCGUGAGCGAUGAAGUAUUUCGGUAUGUAAAGCUCUAUCAGCAGGGAAGAAAAUGACGGUACCUGACUAAGAAGCCCCGGCUAACUACGUGCCAGCAGCCGCGGUAAUACGUAGGGGGCAAGCGUUAUCCGGAUUUACUGGGUGUAAAGGGAGCGUAGACGGCGGUGCAAGCCAGAUGUGAAAGCCCGGGGCUCAACCCCGGGACUGCAUUUGGAACUGUGCUGCUAGAGUGUCGGAGAGGCAGGCGGAAUUCCUAGUGUAGCGGUGAAAUGCGUAGAUAUUAGGAGGAACACCAGUGGCGAAGGCGGCCUGCUGGACGAUGACUGACGUUGAGGCUCGAAAGCGUGGGGAGCAAACAGGAUUAGAUACCCUUGUAAU